GGCACGUAGUUAGCCGAGACUUAUUCCUGAGGUACCGUCCUUCCUCUUCCUCAGAAAAGUGCUUUACAACCAAGGCCUUCAUCGCACACGCGGCGUUGCUGCAUCAGGCUUUCGCCCAUUGUGCAAUAUUCCC
rnacentral:rRNA from 1 species